UGAUUUCAAAAAGGCUAACUUUAAAAAAUUAAGGAAAUUGGUUAGGGAAGUGGAUUGGACUGAAGAACUUGUGGAUCUAAAGGCAGAGGAGGUCUGGAAUUACUUAAAGUCAAAUCUGCAGAAACUAUCAGCAGCCUGCAUCCCAAGAAAGGGGGAAAAAUUCAUAGGCAGGAGUUGUAGACCAGGCUGGAUGAGCAAGCAUCUCAGAGAGGUGAUAAAGAAAAAGAGAGGAAGCAUGCUGAGGAGGAGAGGGAAAGA